GUGGUCUUUCCAGGUCCAUUUUCUGCUUCAGCUUUAAUGAUGCAUUUUAAGGAGAGCCGUGUACUCUCUGUCUCUGUACUCAGACUGCAGCAAGUAUCGGCCCAGCCACCCUUUCAGAUCCACUUCAAGCAAACAGGCUAGAAACUGCUCCCCAUGGUUUUGUCUGAACUGGCUGACAUUCUGCAUCACACACUGGGUCCAAGGCUGGAGUCAGGAACCUAGAAGUGAGCGAGCAUCGAACUGCACUUAGCAGAGUGAGGCAGGCGGGCCUGCGAGAAAGGAUGUAGAUGUACUGCCUCCUGGACUGGGUCAGACAGUCACAGAAUACAGGCUUCAAACUGCUUUUCACACCAUUCUGGUUGGAAAUGGAACCUUUGGAGGCUCAUCAUGUUACCUUUAGCAAAACUGGAAACCAGACGUUGAGAAUGCCAGUGGCCAGCCUUUCAUUAAAAAGCUUUGCAAAGGAAGUCUCUCGGUCAGUGUGACUCACUUGCCUGAAAUUAACUGCUGUUGAUUUCAGCUGCUCCUUAAUCAACGAAACCCAGCCAAUUCAUGUGGACUGAGACACACAUGGCCUUUCAAGUUAAUUGAGUGCUUACUAUGUGUGACUCACUGUAAAAAGGAUGGGAGAGAAAAUGAGGAGACAAAUAAGGUACAGGGUCUGCCUUCAGUGAAGCUACAAUUAGUUUCAGGAUGCAUAUUUCUUUAUUUUGCUCAUAGUUAAAAGUUUCUCUCAUACAAGAAACAAAUGAAUGGGAAAACAUAUUCUGUAAAUAUUUUAAGCUUCAUUAAUGAGAAACAAAAUAAAACACAGAACAACAACAGCAAAACAAUCUGGGAAAUUCAAGACAUUUUAAUCCUUUAUUGUUUUAUUUUAUUAUCUUACAGUGCUAAAAUAAAAUCUAUUCUAUUUAUUCCAUAAAUAUUUGGUAAACUUUAGAGACAUAACGUUUUGAGUUAAUUUGAGUUCAAUUCUACUUUUGUCCUAUAUGUGUAAGUUGUCUGUUGGAAAACCCAUAUUGUUUAUACAGUUCUUGGGAGGUGGGAUGCUGAGUUACAUCUGUUGUAUCCACAGACAUCUAUCUUCUGUGACCUCAAGAGCACCAUUCUGCGUAAGAUACUUGUGAGGAGAAGAGGAAGAUUUAGAUAAAAUUUGGGGUUUGGGACUUACAGAUCUAAGACUGGACAGAGAGCAACAAAACAUCUGGCAAAGGAUCUUGGAAAUCUGGCUGAGAAAUUUUUAAAAGUAUUCAUUUCUUGUCCCCCAUAGCUUGAAUAACUAAAAAGUUUCCCUAAAAAUUUUUAUUGGACUUGAGAAUAAGUCAUUACUUUUCCAGUGUGAAGAUGCUGAUAUUACUAGAGGCACUGGGCAUCUUAUGCCAUUUCUGUAACCUAUUUUUAUAUGGGUGAGCCAACAACAGCCAUUUUUGUCUUGAGUAGUAUCCAUGUAAUUGAAAAUGUGACAAUUCUUUUAAAACAUCAUCAACAGACUUCCUAAUUAAGCUGCCAAUACAAACUGAACUGUCAAUGUCACCGUGUGCUGUUUGACAAAUGAAUAGUGUUGCUUGAACCGUGUUAAGUAAACAGUGCUGUCCCUUCUAUGAAGAGUUUCAUGUUUUCUUUGUACCAUAGCACUUACUAAAUAACUUGACAAAAUUCUCA
ensembl:lncRNA